GUUAUAUAUGUGUCACUAUAAACAAGAGAUUCUCAGACACUGAGCAGUCCAGACAAUGUCACAUGCUUCUUCAAUGACAUCCUAUUGAAAGAUACCAAAUUAGAGUGUUCAACAACUACAGUUUGAAGACCAGAGUUAGAAAAGUAACUAGACUAAGAGAACAGCAAAUAUUUUGGCCCUGGCCCUCCAAGAUCAAUGAAGACUUAGGACAUUUCAACAGGAUCUUACAACUUUGGUGAGUCACCUAACCUCUUGAGAAGGGAGACUGCUGGAUCCCAGAGGACAAGAAGCAACAACAGUGGGCCAAAGGAGAGUCACCAAAAAGUUAAAAAAAAUCUCCCAUGCUUUCACAGAAAGCAACAUGGUCAAGCAAGACUGUGACCCAUCCAGACAGCUGACAAUGACAGAGGAGCUAACAGGCUCUCUACGUGAUUCCAAAAAUAAUGUCUGAGAAGACUUACCUGAUCUUGAUAGCAAGAGGCUAAUUUUGAUUAACACAGGUCUUAUUUUAACUUGGUAUUAAAAACUCAGCAGAAAAGUAUAACCAAAAGAGGUAUAAAAACAAUACUAUAGUACUGUACUAUACUAUAGUACAUUAAUGAGACACAAAAAUGUCCAGUAGUUCAUAGCUUAGCACACCAUUACAAGGUAACCGAGUGGCUUAUAAAUUCCACCCUUAAUGAUCCUGGGCAUAAUCAAAUGUUUUCCAAAAAGGCCACAGAAGCCUCUUUACAGACAGCAGUAAAAUCCAUAUUAAGUAAGUAUAAAUGUCUUGUCAUGUGAGCCAACAAUCAUAUGUAUCAAGAUGGCUACUUUUAGAUAUGAGAUGAUUAUAUGUGGUUAAUUCCAACUACAAGACAGGGCCAGGGAUUUAGUUCAGUGGUUCUUCCACCUGCUUCACAAGCCCAAGUUCGAUCCCUGGUACCAAAAAAAAAUUCACUUUGGACAACUACAAGACAACUUAAUAGAAAGGCCCCUUAUGUUGAGAACAACAAAUCACUCCCAUUCUCAUUGACCUAACUCUAAUAAAUAUUUGGGAUAGACAUAUCCAAAGCAAUGUACACACACUAUAAUUUUACAGGUCAAAGAGUAGUUUACAACAGACUUGUUUAGUCAACCUAAAAUUAGAUGGAAAGCCCCCAGUGGCACUCAUUGGUCCCGUGAAACAAAUUUGUGGUUUUGGCUAUCCCUUGUAUAGAUAAGGAGAUACACACUGG
ensembl:lncRNA